CCGGCGCACGGGUGAGUAACACGUAUCCAACCUGCCGUCUACUCUUGGACAGCCUUCUGAAAGGAAGAUUAAUACAAGAUGGCAUCAUGAGUUCACAUGUUCACAUGAUUAAAGGUAUUCCGGUAGACGAUGGGGAUGCGUUCCAUUAGAUAGUAGGCGGGGUAACGGCCCACCUAGUCUUCGAUGGAUAGGGGUUCUGAGAGGAAGGUCCCCCACAUUGGAACUGAGACACGGUCCAAACUCCUACGGGAGGCAGCAG
rnacentral:rRNA from 1 species